ensembl:lncRNA
GGUACAUGUCCCAAGUGGUUCAGGUUAAUGCCUCCCAACAUUUUUUAGUUUAAAACCUCAGAAAGACUCCAAAACACCAUCUCCUUAGGUUUAACCCUAACUCAAGAUUAAGAGCCCAUGGUCUCUCCACUCCACCAAUCUCAUUAUCUGCAGGUGUUGUGUUGGGCGCCAUGAGGAAAAGAGAGAGGCCCUGCCUCUUGAGCUCCAUCUCAGCUCUCCUUCCACUCUGCUAGCUUUGCUAACAUCUCUUCAGCCUUCAAAACCCCAACUACUACCUCAUCUGGGAAGCCUUCUUGACUACCCCACCUCCAUCACGACCACUUUGGAGUUCACCUGCCCUCCUCCGGGCCUCCUGGGCCUCACACAGGCCUCAGUCAGCCCCCAUCACCCGCUGUAGGGCAAGUAACCUGUCUACACAGCUGCUCCUCCUCGGCACUCUGAGCACCUUCAAGGUCUAACGAUCCAGAGAGUUCCAGAAUGGAUUCAUGUGACUUGGCCUUUUUGGAACUGGACCACCUUGGAGAUCAUCUGGGAGAGGGCACUGAGACCUGCAGAAAUGGAAUGGCCUACCCAGGACACAUCUAGAAGAUUAAGAGACACUGGGGUAACAUAGGGAUGCUGGACUGGGAGUCCUAGACCUCCUGGUCCUGGCUCUACCAUGACGCAUGCUGCCCUGCUGAGCCCACGCCUUUGCCCCUGGGACGCAGAACAUGCCAGGCAGGCAUCUCCCACCUGCCUCUCCAUGCGGGCAGGGAGACUAGCCCUCACUGAGUCCCGAGCUCUGGGACACAAGCUUUACCUCCCUCGUUUUAUUUGAUCCUCCCAACAAGCCUGUGUCAUCUUACAGGUGAGAAAACCGAGGCCUGGAGAAGUCCAAGAAUUCUCCUAAACUCAUCUAGCUAAUGGUAGUGCUGGGUUUCAAACCAGCUUCCUCUGACUCCCAAGCCCAAGCCCUCUCCAUUCCACCAACAGGCCCCUGAUCUCUGCGGCCCAGGUUCCUCCACAUCUAGCUCUCCUGGGACCUCAAGGUAGCAGACGUCAGUGCGCGUUGCUGCUGAGUCCGGUGCUCACCAUUAGGCAGACAAGGAGACCCGAGUGGUGCAGGCCUGAGGCCCUCCACACUAAGGAAGGCGGGCGUAAGCAGAGUGGGGAAGAGGCCACUGUCGACAGCUCUCCUCUGGGGCACCGAAUCUCAGGGGCACAACAAAAGAGAGGGAGCUGUUUAAUAAUUACAGCUGUCUUGUUCAGAGUGACAGGGAGAGAAAUAUUGCUGGGGAGGAAAGCAUAAAAGAAAGAGGCAAAGGAGGACUGGAGUAGCCUUCAGGGAGGGUUGCAUGGAGCCAAGGAGGGCGCGAAGGUCCAUGGUGAGCCCUGGCGUCCAGCAGGUGAGCCUCCUGCUGCCUGCUGCUUUCCUCCAUCCCGCACCCCUCAACAGCUGCCCCGGAUGCUGCAUGUCUGCAGGCCACAGGCCUGCUCCCAAGGAUGCCCGCGUCCACGCAGGAGGAGCAGGGACCCGCCCUCCUCUCUCGGAUCUCUGUUCUUUUUAUAACCAAGCUUGCAAGCAGCAAGGGAUAAGCUGAGCCAUUAGAAGGGUCUCACCCCAGCUCCUGUCUUGGUCCCUGCAGCUGGUCAGAGGCUUCUGCAGCCACUGGAACAUUGCUGUCUGGACCCUGCCCCCACCCCCAGCAGCCUGGGCGGUCCACUGCUUUACCUCAUCCCGUUUCCAUGAAUACCGGGUGCUCAGCAAGGACAGGGGAGCCCACUGAUGGAACCCUGAGGGUCUCCUCUCUAGUUGUGAGCCAGCUUCGAAGGUGACAGAUGAGCUAAUUAACCCCAGGAGCCACCAGGCCCGCCCCUCCCUGUCUUGUUCAUCCCAGCUCCUCCCAACCCAUCUUUCUGGCCCAGACCCCGUAUCUUCGUUGCAGCCUCAAAUAGCUGUGUUUCCGAAAUGUAAAGUGCGGUUUCUCUUCUAAUUACAAAAAUAACAGCUGACAAACACGUGCCAGAGCUCCCCUCUUUUUCUCCUGAGCUAACAGCCCCAUUAGGACAGAUCCUGUUAUCGUCUAUGCCCUCUCCAUAUAUUUUAUGGAACAGCCUCAAAAGUGCUCUGCGUCGGGCUCUCCCUCCCUCUCUUUCUUUUUCAAGGCAAUGGCUUUGUGAAAGCUGAGGGGAAAAAUAAAGCCUUUUACUAAAAUGUCACUCUGGGAAAAGGGGGGAAAUUUCCUAAUAGGCCAUGGAAGGCUUGCUUUUUUUUUUUAAGUGUGAUAAAUUUGGCCUGUCUUAAAAAGACAGCUCACUGUUGCUUAUCAACUGUGAUUUGACCAGAUAGCCGUUUCAAAAAAUAGACACUGGUCUUUUUAUAAUAAAUGAAAGCAAUAAAACCAAGAGCUGGGCCAGAACUAUAAUUAAGAAUCAGAAGCUGAAAAGGGUGGGUGUGUCACUGCAGGGCAGAGUCCAGUCAUGGGCAGGAGGAGUGGGCCAGGCUGGCCGGGAGGCCUGGGGACAACCCCCAUCCCAAGGGGAGGUGCCUCUGUUGUCCCCACUCUCCCCUUCUUUUUCCUUCUCAUUUUGGGAGAGUUCCUUCCCUGGGCAGAUGGACAGAUGGGCCCGGGGGUGGGGAGGAUGGCCGAGGAGGGGCUCAUCGCCCACCCCCUACGCCAAAUCCAGCGCCUAUUUGAAACGCAGCCAGAAAUCCCCCUCCCUGCUCUGUCUGUGCACAAUAAACGUCCCAGACUCGCUACUCCUAAA